CCUUCGAUAGCUCAGUUGGUAGAGCGGUGGACUGUAGAAGCGUCUCUCCAUAGUAAUCCAUAGGUCACUGGUUCAAAUCCGGUUCGAAGGA
rfam:Anopheles arabiensis strain DONG5_A unplaced genomic scaffold supercont1.1, whole genome shotgun sequence.